rnacentral:rRNA from 1 species
CUGCAGUCGGACGAUGAAGCCCUUACGGGGUGGAUUAGUGGCGAACGGGUGAGUAACACGUGAGCAACCUGCCCUUGACUCUGGGAUAAGCCUGGGAAACUGGGUCUAAUACCGGAUAGUACCCUCUGCCGCAUGGUGGGGGGUGGAAAGCCUUGUGCGGUCUUGGAUGGGCUCGCGGCCUAUCAGCUUGUUGGUGGGGUGAUGGCCUACCAAGGCGACGACGGGUAGCCGGCCUGAGAGGGUGACCGGCCACACUGGGACUGAGACACGGCCCAGACUCCUACGGGAGGCAGCAGUGGGGAAUAUUGCACAAUGGGCGAAAGCCUGAUGCAGCGACGCCGCGUGGGGGAUGACGGCCUUCGGGUUGUAAACCCCUUUCGGCAGGGAACAAGCCGCUUCGGUGGUGAGGGUACCUGCGGAAGAAGCGCCGGCUAACUACGUGCCAGCAGCCGCGGUAAUACGUAGGGCGCGAGCGUUAUCCGGAAUUAUUGGGCGUAAAGAGCUCGUAGGCGGUUUGUCGCGUCUGCUGUGAAAGCCCGGGGCUCAACCCCGGGUCUGCAGUGGGUACGGGCAGGCUGGAGUGCAGUAGGGGAGACUGGAAUUCCUGGUGUAGCGGUGAAAUGCGCAGAUAUCAGGAGGAACACCGAUGGCGAAGGCAGGUCUCUGGGCUGUAACUGACGCUGAGGAGCGAAAGCAUGGGGAGCGAACAGGAUUAGAUACCCUGGUAGUCCAUGCCGUAAACGUUGGGCACUAGGUGUGGGGGCCAUUCCACGGUUUCCGCGCCGCAGCUAACGCAUUAAGUGCCCCGCCUGGGGAGUACGGCCGCAAGGCUAAAACUCAAAGGAAUUGACGGGGGCCCGCACAAGCGGCGGAGCAUGCGGAUUAAUUCGAUGCAACGCGAAG